UACGUAGGGGGCGAGCGUUAUCCGGAUUUAUUGGGCGUAAAGAGCGUGUAGGCGGCCAGGUAGGUCUGCUGUGAAAACUCGAGGCUCAACCUCGAGACGUCGGCGGAAACCAUCUGGCUAGAGUCCGGAAGAGGAGAGUGGAAUUCCUGGUGUAGCGGUGAAAUGCGCAGAUAUCAGGAAGAACACCCGUGGCGAAGGCGGCUCUCUGGGACGGUACUGACGCUGAGACGCGAAAGCGUGGGGAGCGAACAGG
rnacentral:rRNA from 1 species